AUUGAACGCUAGCGACAGGCUUAACACAUGCAAGUCGAGGGGCAGCACGGGAGUAGCAAUACAACUGGUGGCGACCGGCGCACGGGUGAGUAACGCGUAUGCAACCUACCUAUCAGAGGGGAAUAACCCGGCGAAAGUCGGACUAAUACCGCAUAAAACAGGGGCACCGCAUGGUGAUAUUUGUUAAAGAAAUUCGCUGAUAGAUGGGCAUGCGUUCCAUUAGGUAGUUGGUGAGGUAACGGCUCACCAAGCCGACGAUGGAUAGGGGAACUGAGAGGCUGGUCCCCCACACGGGUACUGAGACACGGACCAGACUCCUACGGGAGGCAGCAGUGAGGAAUAUUGGUCAAUGGGCGGGAGCUUUAACCAGCCAAGUCGCGUGAAGGAAGAAGGAUCUAUGGUUCGUAAACUUCUUUUGCAGGGGAAUAAAGUGCGGGACGUGUCCUGUUUUGUAUGUACCCUGAGAAUAAGGAUCGGCUAACUCCGUGCCAGCCGCCGCUGUAACAC
rnacentral:rRNA from 1 species